rnacentral:rRNA from 1 species
UACGCUUGUUGGUGGGGUAUGGCCUACCAAGGCGACGACGGGUAGCCGGCCUGAGAGGGCGACCGGCCACACUGGGACUGAGACACGGCCCAGACUCCUACGGGAGGCAGCAGUGGGGAAUAUUGCACAAUGGGCGAAAGCCUGAUGCAGCGACGCCGCGUGAGGGAUGACGGCCUUCGGGUUGUAAACCUCUUUCAGCAGGGAAGAAGCGAAAGUGACGGUACCUGCAGAAGAAGCGCCGGCUAACUACGUGCCAGCAGCCGCGGUAAUACGUAGGGCGCAAGCGUUGUCCGGAAUUAUUGGGCGUAAAGAGCUCGUAGGCGGCUUGUCACGUCGGAUGUGAAAGCCCGGGGCUUAACCCCGGGUCUGCAUUCGAUACGGGCUAGCUAGAGUGUGGUAGGGGAAGAUCGGAAUUCCUGGGUGUAGCGGUGAAAUGCGCAGAUAUCAGGAGGAACACCCGGUGGCGAAAGCGGAUCUCUGGGCCAUUACUGACGCUUGAAGAGCGAAAGCGUGGGGAGCGAACAGGAUUAGAUACCCUGGUAGUCCACGCCGUAAACGUUGGGAACUAGGUGUUGGCGACAUUCCACGUCGUCGGUGCCGCAGCUAACGCAUUUAGUUUCCCCCCCUGGGGAGUACGGCCGCAAGGGUAAAACUC